rnacentral:rRNA from 1 species
UGCCAGCCGCCGCGGUAAUACGAAGGGUGCUAGCGUUGUUCGGAAUUACUGGGCGUAAAGCGCGUGUAGGCGGUUCGUUAAGUCUGAUGUGAAAGCCCGGGGCUCAACCCCGGAAGUGCAUUGGAAACUGGCGAACUUGAGUACGGGAGAGGAAAGUGGAAUUCCGUGUGUAGGGGUGAAAUCCGUAGAUAUUCGGAGGAACACCAGUGGCGAAGGCGGCUCACUGGCUCGAUACUGACGCUGAGGUACGAAAGUGUGGGGAGCAAACAGGAUUAGAUA